GUUUGAUACCCCGAAACUACGUGAGCUACUUCAAGACAGCCUAUUAAUAGGGCUAACCCAUCUCUGUGGCAAAAGCGUGGGAAGAACUUUGAGUAGAGGUGACAAACCUACCGAACCUAGUUAUAGCUGGUUGUCCAAGAAAUGAAUAAAAGUUCAGCCUCUAAGCUUCUCCUUUCACCUGAACUUAACCCCUUUAGAUGUAUUAAAGAAACUAAGAAAGUUAGUCAAAGGAGGUACAGCUCCUUUGAAUCAAGACACAACUUUAACAGGCGGGUAAAGAUCAUAAUAACCAAAGUUAGACAUUCUGGUGGGCCUAAAAGCAGCCAUCCCUUAGAAAGCGUUAAAGCUCAAACAUAUUACUUAUACCUUCUUAUCCUGAUCAAUAAAUCUCACCCCCCUAACCAUACUGGACCCUCCCAUGCCCCCAUGGGUGUGAUUAUGCUAAUAUGAGUAAUAAGAGAGCCCGCCUCUCUCCCUGCACACGUGUACCUCGGAACAGACAACCCACCGACCAUUAACGACCCCAAACAAAGAGGGCAAUAAAUCAUAAACUAAAAUCAAGUAAAACAUUUAAAAAUUAACCGUUAACCCCACACAGGUGUACCCCAAGGAAAGACCUAAAGAAAGAGAAGGAACUCGGCAAACACAUAAAGUCUCGCCUGUUUACCAAAAACAUCGCCUCUUGUACCCCCC
rnacentral:rRNA from 1 species